rfam:Schistosoma rodhaini strain Burundi genome assembly, scaffold: SROB_contig0006098
CUGCUGAGGAGUCCCAUAAUAGGACGAAACGGCCGUCCAGUGC